rnacentral:rRNA from 1 species
AACGAACGCUGGCGGCGCGUCUUAAGCAUGCAAGUCGAACGGCAAGAGAGGAUCUUGCUUCUCUCCUAGAGUGGCGGACUGGUGAGGAACACGUGGGUAAUCUACCCUUAAGAUGGGGAUAGCUGCUAGAAAUAGCAGGUAAUACCGAAUACACUCGGCAUAUCACAAGAGGUGUUGAGGAAAGGAAGCUACGGCUUCGCUUGAGGAUGAGCUUGCGUCCCAUUAGCUAGUUGGUGAGGUAAAGGCCCACCAAGGCGACGAUGGGUAUCCGGCCUGAGAGGGUGAACGGACACAUUGGGACUGAGAUACGGCCCAAACUCCUACGGGAGGCAGCAGCUAAGAAUAUUCCGCAAUGGACGGAAGUCUGACGGAGCGACGCCGCGUGGAUGAAGAAGGCUGAAAAGUUGUAAAAUCCUUUUGUUGAUGAAGAAUAAGGGUGAGAGGGAAUGCUCAUCUGAUGACGGUAAUCGACGAAUAAGCCCCGGCUAAUUACGUG